UACGUAGGGGGCAAGCGUUGUCCGGAAUUAUUGGGCGUAAAGAGCGCGUAGGCGGUCCGAUAAGUCGGCUGUGAAAGUCAAGGGCUCAACCCUUGGAAGCCGGCCGAUACUGUCGGACUAGAGUCCGGAAGAGGCGAGUGGAAUUCCUGGUGUAGCGGUGGAAUGCGCAGAUAUCAGGAGGAACACCAAUAGCGAAGGCAGCUCGCUGGGACGUUACUGACACUGAGGCGCGAAAGCGUGGGGAGCGAACAGG
rnacentral:rRNA from 1 species